AUUGAACGCUGGCGGCAUGCCAUACACAUGCAAGUCGAACGGCAGCACGGGUGCUUGCACCUGGUGGCGAGUGGCGAACGGGUGAGUAAUACAUCGGAACGUGCCUUAUCGUGGGGGAUAACGCAGCGAAAGCUGUGCUAAUACCGCAUACGCCCUGAGGGGGAAAGCGGGGGAUCGAAAGACCUCGCGCGAUUAGAGCGGCCGAUGCCUGAUUAGCUUGUUGGUGGGGUAAAAGCCCACCAAGGCGACGAUCAGUAGCUGGUCUGAGAGGACGAUCAGCCACACUGGGACUGAGACACGGCCCAGACUCCUACGAGAGGCAGCAGUGGGGAAUUUUGGACAAUGGGGGCAACCCUGAUCCAGCAAUGCCGCGUGAGUGAAGAAGGCCUUCGGGUUGUAAAGCUCUUUUGUCAGGGAAGAAACACCGGCUCUAACACAGUCCGGGAAUGACGGUACCUGAAGAAUAAGCACCGGCUAACUACGUGCCAGCUGCCGCGGUAA
rnacentral:rRNA from 1 species